rnacentral:tRNA from 1 species
GGAGACGUGACCGAGAGGCCGAAGGUGCUCCCCUGCUAAGGGAGUAUCCGCCAAAAGCGGAUCGUGGGUUCGAAUCCCACCGUCUCCGCCA